rnacentral:rRNA from 1 species
UACAGAGGGGGCAAGCGUUGUUCGGAAUUACUGGGCGUAAAGGGCGCGUAGGCGGCCUGCUAAGUCGAACGUGAAAUCCUUCGGCUCAACCGAAGAACGUCGAUCGAUACUGCUGUUCUUGAGGGUUGCAGAGGAGACUGGAAUUCCCGGUGUAGCGGUGAAAUGUGUAGAGAUCGGGAGGAACACCGGUGGCGAAGGCGGGUCUCUGGGCAAUUCCUGACGCUGAGGCGCGAAAGCGUGGGGAGCAAACGGG